rnacentral:miRNA from 1 species
CCUGCCUCUACUUGCCUUGGGU